AUUCCAGCUCCAAUAGCGUAUAUUAAAGUUGUUGCAGUUAAAAAGCUCGUAGUUGGAUUUCUGGCGUCGCCGCCCGGUUGGCCUCGAAAGGGGUAUGUACUGGGGCGCGCGUUGCCAUCCUCGGGGGAAGGUCGUCUGGCAUUAGGUUGUCGGACGGUCGACGCUCGUCGUUUACUGUGAACAAAUUAGAGUGUUCAAAGCAGGCUUAGGCCGUUGAAUACAUUAGCAUGGAAUAAUGAGAUAGGACUUUGGUGGUCUAUUUUGUUGGUUUGCACGCCGAAGUAAUGAUUAAUAGGGGCGGUUGGGGGUAUUCGUAUUCAAUUGUCAGAGGUGAAAUUCUUGGAUUUAUGGAAGACGAACUACUGCGAAAGCAUUUACCAAGGAUGUUUUCAUUA
rnacentral:rRNA from 1 species